rnacentral:rRNA from 1 species
UACGUAGGUGGCAAGCGUUAUCCGGAUUUAUUGGGCGUAAAGCGAGCGCAGGCGGUUGCUUAGGUCUGAUGUGAAAGCCUUCGGCUUAACCGAAGAAGUGCAUCGGAAACCGGGCGACUUGAGUGCAGAAGAGGACAGUGGAACUCCAUGUGUAGCGGUGGAAUGCGUAAAUAUAUGUAAGAACACCGGUGGCGAAGGCGGCUUGCUGGGCCUGUACUGACAUUGAGGCACGAAAGCGUGGGGAGCAAACAGG